GUGGGGAAUUUUGGACAAUGGACGAAAGUCUGAUCCAGCGACGCCGCGUGGAGGAUGAAGGUUUUCGGAUCGUAAACUCCUUUUGCAGGGGGCGAAACCGGGCAACCGGUUGACAGUACUCUGCGAAUAAGCCACGGCUAACUACGUGCCAGCAGCCGCGGUAAUACGUAGGUGGCGAGCGUUACUCGGAAUUACUAGGCGUAAAGCGUGUGUAGGCGGGAGCUUAAGUUUGUCGUUAAAUUCCAGGGCUCAACCCUGGACUGUCGAUGAAUACUGGGCUUCUUGAGUGAGGUAGGGGAAAUUGGAAUUCCAGGUGUAGCGGUGAAAUGCGUAGAUAUCUGGAAGAACGCCAAAGGCGAAGGCAGAUUUCUGGGCCUUUACUGACGCUGAGACACGAAAGCUAGGGGAGCAAACAGGAUUAGAUACCCUGGUAGUCC
rnacentral:rRNA from 1 species